rnacentral:rRNA from 1 species
UACGGGGGGGGGCAAGCGUUUGUUCGGAAUUACUGGGCGUAAAGGGCUCGUAGGCGGCCAACUAAGUCAGACGUGAAAUCCCUCGGCUUAACCGGGGAACUGCAUCUGAUACUGGAUGGCUUGAGUUCGGGAGAGGGAUGCGGAAUUCCAGGUGUAGCGGUGAAAUGCGUAGAUAUCUGGAGGAACACCGGUGGCGAAGGCGGCAUCCUGGCCGACACUGACGCUGAGGAGCGAAAGCCAGGGGAGCAAACGGG